AUUGAACGCUGGCGGCAGGCCUAACACAUGCAAGUCGAACGAGAGGCGGACGGAUGAGUAAUGACUGGGAAACUGCCCGAUGGAGGGGGUUAACUACUGGAAACGGUAGCUGAUACCGCAUACCAUCGGAUGUGCCCAGAUGGGAUUAGCUAGUAGGUGGGGUAACGGCUCACCUAGGCGACGAUCCCUAGCUGGUCUGAGAGGAUGAUCAGCCACACUGGAACUGAGACACGGUCCAGACUCCUACGGGAGGCAGCAGUGGGGAAUAUUGCACAAUGGGCGCAAGCCUGAUGCAGCCAUGCCGCGUGUAUGAAGAAGGCCUUCGGGUUGUAAAGUACUUUCAGCGGGGAGGCGUUACCCACAGAAGAAGCACCGGCUAACUCCGUGCCAGCAGCCGCGGUAAUAC
rnacentral:rRNA from 1 species